rnacentral:hammerhead_ribozyme from 1 species
UCCAGCUGACGAGUCCCAAAUAGGACGAAAUGCGCUUUAUUCUGGAU